UUAGAAGUUUUGAUAUUUGUAGGUAGGGUCAGUGGCUAGAUUAGGCAUGUUAGUUUGUUUCCGCGUUUUAGUGUCAGAAUGGGCCUGCUGGUUUGGUGGUUGGUUGUAUGUUAGUUUAGUUUGGGGUUCCAGGUUUGAGCCUUGGAUGUUCUUUGAAGGAAUUACUUUGAUUGAAUUUUUGUUUUGUUGAAAAAGUUUAAUAUUUUUUAUUAAAUAUUAUUUAGUUUGGAUUUUUAUUUUUAUUUUUUUCUUCUUCGAUUUUUUUCGUUUGCACGUUCUCUCUUCUCCCUCACCAUGGUUUGGUUUCUCCUUCUUUUCUUCUUGGUUUAUUGCGCCUUUGGACAAAAACAAAAUAAGAUAAGUUUUGUUUUGGAAAGCUUUGAUUCUUUAUCGUCAAGCCGGCAUUUGGAAGUUUUGGUCGUGAGUCAGGUGUGGGAUUCGAACCUUUCUUUUUCAUUAAUGAAAUUAUGAAUUGGAUAUGUUAAAUUCGACAGUUAUUGGUGUUUUCUGAAUCGUUAAGUUUCGAUGUUGGAGUUUGGUCUUUUUUUUUCUUUUAUGGUAUAUUUUUGGAUUAAAGCGGAUGGGAUUCGUUUUGUUGAUGGUUGAGGGAUUUUUAAGAAAUUUCAAGUGGGUUUUAAGAAUAAAGAUGUUGGGAAUGCGGUUUGAAGAAGAAAGGUGCAGAUUACAGCCAAUUUCGAUGUGGUUUCAUUUCCACAUGGGUGGCCACACAUG
rnacentral:lncRNA from 1 species